rnacentral:lncRNA from 1 species
UGUUUAUUAACUACAAACCAUGAGGUACUUGCCAACUCUGACCAUAAAAUGUUCUAUUCUGAGGCUGUCUCUCUGUUUCUGAGGAGAAUAAGAAGUCAAAUGUCUUGAAAAUAACCAGUCCCAUCCUGAGAAAACCUUCUAGUUACUUUCUCUCCUCGGAUUUUGUUUUUUAAUUAAAACAAGCUAAAGUGAAAUAAAUAAAACAAAAUGCUCUGUAAUGGUGGAGGCAAGUGGAAUGAAAGUACAUUUUCCAUUCACAACAAUGUACACAUGAAUGUUUAAAUUCAUCAGCCUUUCACUGUGUAAUAAUGUGACAUGUUUACAGUGUUGAAGGAAAUCAGGUGUUUUCAUGCUAAAUGAAAAUAAAAUUUAUGUACUGUUAUUACCAUA